rnacentral:rRNA from 1 species
AACGAACGCUGGCGGCAUGCCUAACGCAUGCAAGUCGAACGAGACCUUCGGGUCUAGUGGCGCACGGGUGCGUAACGCGUGGGAACCUGCCCUUAGGUUCGGAAUAACUCCCCGAAAGGGGUCCCAAUACCGGCUACUGUCUUCGGACCAAAGAUUUAUCGCCUUUGGAUGGGCCCGCGUUGGAUUAGCUAGUUGGUAGGGUAAAAGCCUACCAAGGCGACGAUCCAUAGCUGGUCUGAGAGGAUGAUCAGCCACACUGGGACUGAGACACGGCCCAGACUCCUACGGGAGGCAGCAGUGGGGAAUAUUGGACAAUGGGCGAAAGCCUGAUCCAGCAAUGCCGCGUGAGUGAUGAAGGCCUUAGGGUUGUAAAGCUCUUUUACCCGGGAUGAUAAUGACAGUACCGGGAGAAUAAGCUCCGGCUAACUCCGUG